GACGAACGCUAGCGGCGUGCUUAACACAUGCAAGUCGAACGGAAAGGCCCUGCUUUUGUGGGGUGCUCGAGUGGCGAACGGGUGAGUAACACGUGAGUAACCUGCCCUUGACUUUGGGAUAACUUCAGGAAACUGGGGCUAAUACCGGAUAGGAGCUCCUGCUGCAUGGUGGGGGUUGGAAAGUUUCGGCGGUUGGGGAUGGACUCGCGGCUUAUCAGCUUGUUGGUGGGGUAGUGGCUUACCAAGGCUUUGACGGGUAGCCGGCCUGAGAGGGUGACCGGCCGGGUGGGGGGUGGGGGGGGGCCGGGCGGCCGGGGGGGGGAGGAGGGGGGGAGUGGGGCAGAGGGGGGGGGGGCGGGGGGCGGCAGGGCGGGGGGGGGGAGGGGGGCCUGGGGGUGGGAGCCGGUUUGCGCUGGGGAGGAGGCGUGAGUGAGGGUAAGGUGUAAAGAACCCCGGGCUAACUCCGGG
rnacentral:rRNA from 1 species